AUGUCAUUAACAAAGCUGCUGGGCCAUUUUUAAGUCAACAGCUGCAGAUCCACACUAAAGCUUGAGAUUGACAACCUCAACAAGAUCUUCACAAGCAUUUCUGGCAGGCGGACAUCUGGCUCGGGAUGGUCCGCAACUUGCUGGAGUCUUCCACGGCAGGGUCUUUUCUGUGGCUGGUGGCUCAGGCGCCCUUCCUUCCUCGAACUUGGUUGUGAAAUGGUCCAUCCACAAGUUCUCGUGUCCUCCAGCGUGAUGCAGCUGCUUUAAGAGAUCCAGAGCCGUUAGUUCGGGUACUCACUGAGCUAGGUGUUUGAUGAUGUUUUGGCCUCCAUCUAACUGGCCUUGUGCAUGCCUGAUCUGCAGUUUGCUGCAAUAGUAGACUGCAGUAGCGAGCAGUAGUAAUAUGCAGGCAGAUAUGCACUAAGUGUAGCUAAUGCUCUUCCCCGAAGCAAAGCAAGGUACAUGCAAGAGUUAAACAAAAUUCAGGUACGUAGUAGGUUCCUUUUCCAUGGUGCAACUGCAUCAAUGCACUAUUGUUUGGUGUGAACUUGAUAUCUUGGCCUCAUUUAGUUUUUGGACAUCUUUGGUGAGUGCGGGAAAAAUAAUACCUGCUGCUAUGUUGUUAAUUUAUUAUCCCAUGUUCUCUGAAUUGAUUUUGGAAACUAGUGCUUGACGUUCUGUUUAUUAUGAUAAACAUGAAAAAAACAAUAACCUUGCCUUACAUAAAAGCUUAUAAAUGGUACCAUGUUAUCUUGUAUUUUUGUAUGUAUCUUCUGUGUCCUGAUGUCAUUGUUCAUUUCGGUACAAGGAUAAGAGCUUGACCAUUUCAAAGCAAAUAGUUGAUUUAAAGAUGCAGCCUCCUUUGAUAGACUUAGCUAGUAAAUACUGUACUUAAGCUAGUGUAUUAUUGUGCCAAGUAAUUUGGAGAUGCAACCAGCAUUGUCCUUUUGCAAAUAAUCAAAACAUGCUUUGUUUAUUCCAUGGCUAAUUUCACCAUGUGCUAUACCACGGGCAGGUAUGCUGAAAUAAUCACCUAUCCUUGCAUACAUUCAUGAUUAAUGUCUUGUUAGUGUGAUUUGGAUCUGUGGCUUGGUUUCUUUUAGAUUUCAAAAAACAAUCACCUAUUUGCAUAUUCAUGAUUAAUCUCUUGUUUAGUGUGAUCUGGACUGAAUUGUGUUAUGUUUUUCCCUCAGGAUGCAAAUUGUGGCCAAGGCACCUAUGGUAAUUGCGUGUACUGUGUAGGGUCAGAUAGCUUGUUCUAAGUCAGAUAUGAGCAUGUUUAAGCUACAGGGUUAAAUGGUCUUUGAGAUUGCAUG